rnacentral:tRNA from 6 species
UAAGUGAGAACUUUCAAAAAUCCGUCGA